rnacentral:rRNA from 1 species
UUAAACUAAAGCCAAACGUCCUCAAAGCUGUUUAACGCUCCCGAGUUAAGAAGAUCCAUUACGAAAGUAGCUUUACCCAUCCUGACCCCACGAAAGCUGUGACACAAACUGGGAUUAGAUACCCCACUAUGCUCAGCCAUAAAAUUUGAUAGGCCCCUACGCCCCCUAUCCGCCCGGGUACUACGAGCAUCAGCUUAAAACCCAAAGGACUUGGCGGUGCUUCACAUCCGUCUAGAGGAGCCUGUUCUAGAACCGAUAACCCCCGUUGAACCUCACCCUCCCUUGUUAAUACCGCCUAUAUACCGCCGUCGUCAGCCUACCCUGUGAAGGACUAGAAGUGAGCAAGAUUGGUAAGACCCAAAACGUCAGGUCGAGGUGUAGUGUAUGAGAGGGGAAGAAAUGGGCUACAUUUCCUAAAUCAGGAAACACGAACAAUGAACUGAAACAAGCAUUUGAAGGUGGAUUUAGCAGUAAGCAAGAAAACAGAGUGUUCUGCUGAAACAUGGCAAUAAAGCACGCACAUAUCGCCCGUCACUCUCCCCGAGCUACCUAAAAAAUUACAUCUGCAAAGGGGAGGCAAGUCGUAACAUGGUAAGCGUACCGGAAGGUGCGCUUGGAACAAUCAGAGUGUAGCUUAG